rnacentral:rRNA from 1 species
UACGCAGGGUGCGAGCGUUAAUCGGAAUUACUGGGCGUAAAGCGUGCGUAGGCGGUUGGCAAAGUCAGCUGUGAAAGCCCCGGGCUUAACCUGGGAAUGGCGGUUGAAACUAGUCGACUCGAAUCUGGCAGAGGGGGGUGGAAUUCCACGUGUAGCAGUGAAAUGCGUAGAGAUGUGGAGGAAUACCGAUGGCGAAGGCAGCCCCCUGGGAUAACACUGACGCUCAUGCACGAAAGCGUGGGGAGCAAACAGG